UCAAGUAGUCACGCGUCACGCUGAACUUGAGUGUGGUGGGUGUGUACUUUGUUUGGAGUUGGUAAAUGGAGUAAAUAUAUAAUUGUUAUGUUGUGACUUUUUAGAAUUUAUUUUCAAGUGAUUUAACUAUAGUUAUUUCGAGAACGGAGACCUCACAAGUGAAGUUUGUAGAUUUAUUUUGUGAAAAGAAGACGUUUUGAUUGAGAAUUUAAAAUCACCAACACAGUAAAAAAGACCAUUGUUAUCCGACUGAGACUUCGGAGGUCGACCACUUGCGAUUUGAGCUGCUCCCUUGGAUACUCCUACUCGACGCCUUGCUCGACCAGAUGGAUUAACACCAGUGCGACCCUUCUUGGACAGCACAGAGUUGACAGCUCUGUAAAAAGCCACCAAAGCAGCUUGAGCAGCUGGAGUAGUUUUUGGCUUUCGGAGUGCCUUUCCCAUCUUUUCAACAAGUUCAGUUGGAAAGGAGCCACUUCCACUCCGCCGAGAGUACGUGAAACACACAUAGCAACCUACGUGCUGUUGGCCACACCGACUCAACCGCCUUUCGUUCCGCAGAACUGUCAUCUGUCAUUACGACACUAGGCGCCUAAAAAUGAAGUACAUUUUCAUUUAGAAAUGUAUGUUUUUUUUUAAUUUUAUUAUUGGAUUAUGAAGUAGUCUCUGAGUAAGAUUUUUUUAAAACUCUGUUUUAAUUUAAUAAAUAUUGGAAUUUAUUGUUGGUAGGGAAUAUAAAA